CCAAAAGCAAUGAAGGAGAGCAUAUUUUAGAAAAGUAGUUUAAGAGAGUCGGUAAUUGCUGAGAGCCGAUACUGCAUCAAAAUAUUACUCACUCCCGAGCUGCAUCUUUGAAAACGUGGAAAUAUGACUUUAAAUAUUUUAUUGUUAUAAUACUACAAGUAGGAGAUAGAUGGUUAGCCCCAUUAUAGGCUAGGGUUCAAUUUACCUCAAAGUGAGUGGUUUUUGCAUUUGCAAAAACAAAUAAGGUGGUACCACGGGGAGCUAUGCCUCGUCCUUAAA
rnacentral:ncRNA from 1 species